GGGGCUAUAGCUCAGUGGUAGAGCUCAUGCUUAGCAUGCACAAGGUCCUGGGUUCAAUCCCCAGUCCCUCCA
rfam:Camelus ferus unplaced genomic scaffold scaffold1783, whole genome shotgun sequence.